GAGGCAGUCUACAGUUUUUUAGCCUUAUCUGCGCAUUGGCCCCGGUCAAUUUCCUGAAUUUAAGGUGUAUGGCCUAAAACAAAUUGUUUUUUGACUCCAGGAGCUGAAAUGUAAGUAUAAAUGGUCAAUAUUCUAGUAAUUUCACAUGUUUUUAGUAAUUCGAAACUAAGUGACCUGAAUUUUAGUCAACAACAACAACAUGCUGAGUGAGAAGUAAACACAUGUACUUCCUGCUUGAAGCAGCCGGCAUUUGACAGAUUUCAACGGUUGUGACUGAAGGCCUUGUUUUGAGGGUGUUUUGCAGACCAGUGCUUGUCGGCCUGGGGAUUUUCCAGAAAAACUGUAGACUGCCCCCUUAAGUAAUUCGAAACUAAGUGACCUGAAUUUUAGUCAACAACAACAACAUGCUGAGUGAGAAGUAAACACAUGUACUUCCUGCUUGAAGCAGCCGGCAUUUGACAGAUUUCAACGGUUGUGACUGAAGGCCUUGUUUUGAGGGUGUUUUGCAGACCAGUGCUUGUCGGCCUGGGGAUUUUCCAGAAAAACUGUAGACUGCCCCCAAA